rnacentral:rRNA from 1 species
GACGAACGCUGGCGGCGUGCUUAACACAUGCAAGUUGAACGGUCCGGCAUGGAAGCUUGCUGAAGUGUCGGGUAGUAGCGGACGGGUGAGUAAUGCAUGAGAAGCUGCCAUUGGGAGAGGGACAACAGUUGGAAACGGCUGCUAAUACCCCAUAAGCCGGAAGGUGAAACGGAGGGAUCCGCCCGAUGAGGUGCUCAUGUCCUAUCAGCUGGUUGGUGAGGUAACGGCUCACCACGUCGACGCCGGGUAGCCGGCCUGAAAGGGUGACCGGCCACACUGGAACUGAGAUACGGUCCAGACUCCUACGGGAGGCAGCAGUGGGGAAUAUUGGGCAAUGGGGGCAACCCUGACCCAGCGACGCCGCGUGAGGGAAGACGGCCUUCGGGUUGUAAACCUCUUUUGUACGGGAAGAAGGAUGUGACGGUACCGUGCGAAUAAGUCCCGGCUAACUACGUGCCAGCAGCCGCCGUAA